rnacentral:rRNA from 1 species
AGUGAACGCUGGCGGCAGGCCUAACACAUGCAAGUCGAGCGGCAGCGCGUCCGACCACCCUCGGGUGGUCGGAUGGCGGCGAGCGGGCGGACGGGUGAGGAAUGCAUCGGAAUCUGCCUCGUUGUGGGGGAUAACGUAGGGAAACUUACGCUAAUACCGCAUACGACCUACGGGUGAAAGUGGGGGACCUUCGGGCCUCACGCGAUGAGAUGAGCCGAUGCCGGAUUAGCUAGUUGGCGGGGUAAAGGCCCACCAAGGCGACGAUCCGUAGCUGGUCUGAGAGGAUGAUCAGCCGACACUGGAACUGA